rfam:Crenothrix polyspora isolate RSM_CP1 genome assembly, contig: CRENPOLYSF1_Contig_58
AGAGUCGGUUGAGCAGUCGCUAUUUUUAUCGCAAGAUAAAGGUAGAGGAAAGUCCGGGCUCCAAUGGGCGAGGUGCCAGGUAACGCCUGGGAGGCGUGAGCCUACGGCAAGUGCCACAGAAAAUAUACCGCCUAGCUUCUGAAUUUUUCACUUAUCAACCACCGUAAGGUUGUAGAGAAGAGAGAUAAUUCAGGGGCUGGGUAAGGGUGAAAUGGUGCGGUAAGAGCGCACCGCGCAGCUGGUAACAGAGGUGGCAUGGUAAACCCCACCUGGAGCAAGAUCAAAUAGAGGAACAGACGCGUGGCCCGCGCGGUUCCUGGGUAGAUUGCUUGAGCCGACAGGUGACUUUCGGCCUAGAUGAAUGGCUGCUCUCGACAGAACCCGGCUUAUAGACUGACUCUUUCU